CUUGAGUGCGGAAGAGGGGGGUGGAAUUCCACGUGUAGCGGUGAAAUGCGUAGAUAUGUGGAGGAACACCGAUGGCGAAGGCGGCUUUCUGGGCUGUAACUGACGCUGAUGCGCGAAAGCGUGGGGAGCAAACAGGAUUAGAUACCCUGGUAGUCCACGCCCUAAACGAUGACUGCUAGUUGUUG
rnacentral:rRNA from 1 species